GUUUGCUUGCCCUACUUGGAGAAGACGUUUCUACACAUCUUCCUAGGGGAAAGUCACACAAUGUCAACAUGGAUUUUUGAACAGCAACAUCCCACGAUCAUAAAGUUGUCACAGCCAGGAAUUCUGAAAAGUACUAGAUGAGAAAGAAGCAAUGGAAACGUUCUGAUGCACAAAAGGCACGUCUGGUAUAAUUGAAUGACUAGAAUGGUGCUAGGAUUAAAGCUGUGCACCACCACUGCCAGUACCAUACCAUCUUUUUCACUCUUUGCUGAAAAAACAGAACCAAGUUCCUCACUGGCUAAUGUUUUAUCAACUUGAAGGAGCCGGCUCAGUGGGCAAAUGUGCUUGCCUGAGCCUAACAACCUGAGUUCUAUUGCUCGGAUCCACAUGGUAGACAUGUUGUCUUCUGAUCUCCAUACAUGCACAGUGACACAUGUGUGCCCCCAUACAUAAGGACACAUGGGAUAGCUAAUCUUGGUUAUCAACUUGACUACAUCUAGAACUAACUAAAACUCAAGGUGAGCACACCUCAAAAAGACCCCUUUGAAGGAUUUUUUUUUCUUGGUUAUAUUAUUUGAGUUAUAAGAUCCUCCCACAAUCUGGGCCACUCCUUCUGGCGGCAGCCCACAUAAAAGGACAUGGAAGAAGGAAUUCAUCUGUCCUGUUCCUGUGCCUCCCUUCCCUGCUGUUAGAACCUACUUCUUCAGGAUUCCAACAGAGACUGAGACCAGGACCUCCCUGGGACUCCAGCAUCAGAUGGGACUGCGGAGACAUCUCUUCUGAACUGAACAACUACCUGAUCCCUGGCCUUUUCAGUCAGGAGAUGGCUACUGUUGGGCUGCUAGGACCACAGCCUGAAAGCCACUCUAAUAAAUCUCAUAUAUGGAUGUUCAUUGUAACUGUUCUAUCAACCCUAACUAAUACAACACACAAAUAAACAUACCUUUUUGUUUGUCUGUUUCUCCA